rnacentral:misc_RNA from 1 species
GAAGAAAACGUUGAGGCCAUAUGUCAGAUCUUUAACACCAUUGGGAAGCAGCUUGAUGACAACACAAAGUCGCAGCGUAUAAAUGAUACAUACUUCCUUCGAUUGAAGGAAUUGUCAGCAAACCCUCAGCUUGCUCCACGACUGAGGUUCAUGAUACGUGAUGUUCUUGAACUGCGGGGAAAUAACUGGAUUCCUAGACGUGAAGAGGUCAAAGCCAAAACCAUCACUGAGAUACAUUCUGAGGCCGAGAAAAAUCUUGGAUUGCGUCCAGGUGCUACUUCAAUCAUUAGAAAUAAUCGUGGUGUUAUUUCGGCUGCUCCAGGUGCUGCUGGUCCUGGGGGCUUUUCCAUUAACCGACCUGGAGCAGGGGGUAUGAUGCCUGGUAUGCCAGGAACUAGGAGGAUGCCUGGGAUGCCUGGAAUUGAUAAUGAUAAUUGGGAGGUACCCAGGACCCGCUCGAUGCAGCCUUCAGGACGUGUGCCAUCACUAAUGUACAAUAUGUCAACAUCUCUUAACACGAGGCUGUUACCUCAGGGUAGUGGUGGCUUUAUAGGUGGAAAGAGUAGUGCCCUCUUGCAAGGAAGUACUGGCCCUUCUCCUCGCCCCUACAGUUUUGGUUUGGGUAAUGAGCUUCCUUCUCAAGUCUCUGUACCCAAUAAACCUUCACCUGCUCCCUAUGUGCCUCCCAUUGUUGAGAAACCGGCGGCUUCAGCUGCAAGAUUAAAUCCUGAGGAACUUAGGAAGAAAACAGUGUUACUUUUGAAGGAAUAUUUCAAUGCACAGCUUCUGGAUGAGGCUUUGCAGUGUGUGGAGGAACUGAAGUC